rnacentral:rRNA from 1 species
AACGAACGCUGGCGGCAUGCCUAACACAUGCAAGUCGAACGAGACCUUCGGGUCUAGUUGCGCACGGGUGCGUAACGCGUGGGAACCUGCCCUUAGGUUCGGAAUAACUCCCCGACAGGGGUGCUAAUACCGGAUAAUGUCUUCGGACCAAAGAUUUAUCGCCUUUGGAUGGGCCCGCGUUGGAUUAGCUAGUUGGUAGGGUAAAAGCCUACCAAGGCGACGAUCCAUAGCUGGUCUGAGAGGAUGAUCAGCCACACUGGGACUGAGACACGGCCCAGACUCCUACGGGAGGCAGCAGUGGGGAAUAUUGGACAAUGGGCGAAAGCCUGAUCCAGCAAUGCCGCGUGAGUGAUGAAGGCCUUAGGGUUGUAAAGCUCUUUUACCCGGGAUGAUAAUGACAGUACCGGGAGAAUAAGCUCCGGCUAACUCCGUG